rnacentral:rRNA from 1 species
CCACGGGCGGCAGCAGUGGGGGAUAUUGGACAAUGGGGGCAACCCUGAUCCAGCCAUGCCGCGGGUGUGAAGAAGGCCCUCGGGUUGUAAAGCACUUUCAGUGAGGAAGAACGCCUGGUGGUUAAUACCCAUCAGGAAAGACAUCACUCACAGAAGAAGCACCGGCUAACUCCGUGCCAGCAGCCGCGGUAAUACGGAGGGUGCGAGCGUUAAUCGGAAUUACUGGGCGUAAAGCGCGCGUAGGUGGCUUGAUAAGCCGGUUGUGAAAGCCCCGGGCUCAACCUGGGAACGGCAUCCGGAACUGUCAAGCUAGAGUGCAGGAGAGGAAGGUAGAAUUCCCGGUGUAGCGGUGAAAUGCGUAGAGAUCGGGAGGAAUACCAGUGGCGAAGGCGGCCUUCUGGACUGACACUGACACUGAGGUGCGAAAGCGUGGGUAGCAAACAGGAUUAGAUAUCCUUGUAGUC